CACUGGAAGAUUAAUGAUUUUCAGCAAUGCCUGCCCAGUGCGAUCAAAAGUCGUAAACGGCCGCCCUAGCGUGAGGGUGCUAAGGUAGCGAAAUUCCUUGCCUUUUAAUUGUAGGCCUGCAUGAAUGGUUUGACGAGGGCUUAACUGUCUCUAGUUUGUAAGUCUAAAUUGGAUUAAAGGUGAAGAUACCUUUAUAAAAAAGUCAGACAAGAAGACCCCGUGCAACUUUUAAAGUCAACUUGUUUAGGAGUUUCAGAUUUUUAGGUGGGGCGCCUAUUAAGUAAUAUUAACCUUAGUGUACGAUAAAACUUUCAAGUAUAGACCCGACAAUGUCGAUCAUAGGAGAAGUUACGCCGGGGAUAACAGGCUAAUCCACUAGUAGAGAACGUAUUGGCUAGUGGGAUUGGCACCUCGAUGUUGAAUCAGGGAUGAUACCUCUAAGGCGUAGAAGCUUUGGAAGUGGGUCUGUUCGACCUUUAAUACCCU
rnacentral:rRNA from 1 species